rnacentral:rRNA from 1 species
AUUAGAUUAAAAACCAAUGCCCUUCGGGGCUCUCUGGUGAUUCAUAAUAACUUCUCGAAUCGCACGGCCUUGCGCCGGCGAUGGUUCAUUCAAAUUUCUGCCCUAUCAACUUUCGACGGCUGGGUCUUGGCCAGCCAUGGUGACAACGGGUAACGGAGGGUUAGGGCUCGACCCCGGAGUAGGAGCCUGAGAAACGGCUACUACAUCCAAGGAAGGCAGCAGGCGCGCAAAUUACCCAAUCCCGACACGGGGAGGUAGUGACAAUAAAUACUGAUACAGGGCUCUUUUGGGUCUUGUAAUUGGAAUGAGUACAAUUUAAACCCCUUAACGAGGAACAAUUGGAGGGCAAGUCUGGUGCCAGCAGCCGCGGUAAUUCCAGCUCCAAUAGCGUAUAUUAAAGUUGUUGUGGUUAAAAAGCUCGUAGUUGAACCUUGGGCCUGGCUGGCCGGUCCGCCUCACCGCGUGUACUGGUCCGGCCGGGCCUUUCCUCUGUGGAGCCCCAUGCCCUUUCACUGGG